GCCUCUGUGGUGUAGUGGUAGCACGCGUCCACGGUAUGGAUGGAACGCGGGUUUGUCUCUCGCCCGAGGCC